UCCUACGGGAGGCAGCAGUGGGGAAUAUUGCACAAUGGGGGGAACCCUGAUGCAGCCAUGCCGCGUGUGUGAAGAAGGCCUUCGGGUUGUAAAGCACUUUCAGUUGUGAGGAAAGGUUAGUAGUUAAUACCUGCUAGCUGUGUCGUUAGCAACAGAAGAAGCACCGGCUAACUCCGUGCCAGCAGCCGCGGUAAUACGGGAGUGGCAAGCGUUAUCCGGAAUUAUUGGGCGUAAAGCGUCCGCAGGCGGUCUGUCAAGUCUGCUGUUAAAGCGUGGAGCUUAACUCCAUUUCGGCAGUGGAAACUGACAGACUAGAGUGUGGUAGGGGCAGAGGGGAUUCCCGGUGUAGCGGUGAAAUGCGUAGAUAUCGGGAAGAACACCAGUGGCGAAGGCGCUCUGCUGGGCCAUAACUGACGCUCAUGGACGAAAGCCAGGGGAGCGAAAGGGAUUAGAUACCCCUGUAGUCCUGGCCGUAAACGAUGAACACUAGGUGUCGGGGGAAUCGACCCCCUCGGUGUCGUAGCCAACGCGUUAAGUGUUCCGCCUGGGGAGUACGCACGCAAGUGUGAAACUCAAAUGAAUUGACGG
rnacentral:rRNA from 1 species